CACGGCGCACGGGUGCGUAACACGUGGGCAAUCUGCCCUCGGAUGGGGGAUAACCCCGCGAAAGUGGGGCUAAUACCGCAUGACAUUCCGGAAACCUCGGUUUCUGGAUUCAAAGGCCGCAAGGCCGUCUGAGGAGGAGCCCGCGCCCGAUUAGCUAGUUGGUGAGGUAACGGCUCACCAAGGCUUUGAUCGGUAGCCGGUCUGAGAGGAUGGCCGGCCACACUGGAACUGAGACACGGUCCAGACUCCUACGGGAGGCAGCAGUGGGGAAUAUUGCGCAAUGGGCGAAAGCCUGACGCAGCGACGCCGCGUGGGGGAUGAAGCUUCUCGGAGUGUAAACCCCUUUCGACCCGGACGAAUGACCCGCAAGGGUUUGACGGUACGGGUAUAAGAAGCCCCGGCUAACUACGUGCCAGCAGCCGCGGUAAUACGUAGGGGGCCAGCGUUGCUCGGAAUUACUGGGCGUAAAGGGUUCGUAGGUGGUGCGGCAAGUUGGGAGUGAAAUCUCUGGGCUUAACCCAGAGGCUGCUUUCAA
rnacentral:rRNA from 1 species